rnacentral:rRNA from 1 species
UCAAGCGAAGAAGAGCACAUGGAGAAUGCCUUGGCAUCAGGAGCCGAAGAAGGACGUGAUAAGCUGCGAAAAGCUGCGGGGAGCUGCAAAUAAGCGUAGAGCCGCAGAUGUCCGAAUGUGGAAACACGGCAGAGCAAUACUCUGUCAACCUAUGGUGAAUAAAAUAGUCAUAGGUGGGGAGACCCGCUGAACUGAAACAUCUAAGUAGGCGGAGGAAGAGAAAUCAAAAGAGAUUCCCGAAGUAGCGGCGAGCGAAACGGGAAGAGGCCAAACCGAUUGUAGUAAUACGGUCGGGGUUGAGGACUGCAAUUAGCAUUGUGAGCUGUUAGUAGAAUUGUCUGGGAAGGCAAACCAAAGAGGGUAAAAGUCCCGUAAACGAAAAUGGCGAGCAGCGAGCAGAAUCCAGAGUACCGCCGGACACGUGAAACCCGGUGGGAAGCAGGGUAGACCACUAUCCAAGCCUAAAUACUACCUGAUGACCGAUAGAGAAGCAGUACCGUGAGGGAAAGGUGAAAAGAACCCCGGGAGGGGAGUGAAAUAGAACCUGAAACCGUGUGUUUACAAGCAGUCGAAGCACGUUAAGGUGCGACGGCGUACUUUUUGUAGAACGGUCCGGCGAGUAUAUGUAUGUAGCAAGGUUAAUGUAUUAAGUACAGAAGCCGAAGGGAAACCGAGUCUGAAAAGGGCGUAGAGUUGCAUAUAUAUGACCCGAAACCGGGUGACCUACCCAUGGACAGGUUGAAGCGAGAGUAAAAUCUCGUGGAGGACCGAACCCACGUAUGUUGAAAAAUGCGGGGAUGAGCUGUGGGUAGCGGAGAAAUUCCAAUCGAACUCGGAUAUAGCUGGUUCUCCCCGAAAUAGCUUUAGGGCUAGCCUCGGAUUAGUUUAGCGGGGGUAAAGCACUGAAUGGGCUAGGGGGCGUAUAGCUUACUGAACCCUAUCAAACUCAGAAUACCGCAUAAAUGAUGUCCGGGAGUCAGACUACGGGAGAUAAGUUCCGUGGUCAAAAGGGAAACAGCCCAGACCCACAGCUAAGGUCCCAAAAUAGGUUUAAGUGGAAAAGGAUGUCUAGUUGCCCAGACAACUAGGAUGUUGGCUUAGAAGCAGCCACUCAUUAAAAGAGUGCGUAAUAGCUCACUAGUCGAGUGAUUAGGCGCCGAAAAUUUAACGGGGCUAAAAUCUAUACCGAAGCUUGGGAAUAUGUUUUUUAAAUGUAUUGGUAGGGGAGCAUUCUAUUAUAGGGAGAAGCAUAAUCGAAAGGAUAUGUGGACGAGAUAGAAGAGAGAAUGCCGGAAUGAGUAGCGAGAAUUAUGUGAGAAUCAUAAUGGUCGAAAACCUAAGGUUUCUUGAGGAAGGUUCGUCCGCUCAAGGUAAGCCGGGAGCUAAGGCGAGGCCGAGAGGCGUAGUCGAUGCACAUACGGUUGAAAUUCCGUAGCCACCGAAACUGUUAAGCACAGGGACGCAGGAACAUAAUCUGACCGCACCGAUGGUAGAGUGCGGCGAAAGGGAGCGAAAAUAAGUAGCGAAGCAGAUGAUUGUACACUGACAAGAAAAGCUGUGUGGAUUGGUAAGGUGCCCGUACCGUAAACCGACACAGGUGGGUGAGGAGAGAAUCCUAAGACCGUCGGGAGAAGUGUUGUUAAGGAACUCGGCAAAUUGACCCCGUAACUUCGGAAUAAGGGGUGCCUAUUGAGAGAUAGGCCGCAGAGAAUAGGCCCAAGCGACUGUUUAGCAAAAACACAGGUCUCUGCUAAAUCGAAAGAUGAUGUAUAGGGGCUGACGCCUGCCCGGUGCCGGAAGGUUAAGAGGAGAGCUUAGAGCAAUCGAAGGUUUGAAUUGAAGCCCCGGUAAACGGCGGCCGUAACUAUAACGGUCCUAAGGUAGCGAAAUUCCUUGUCAGGUAAGUUCUGACCCGCACGAAUGGCGUAACGAUUUGGGCACUGUCUCAACAGCCCGCCCGGCGAAAUUGUAGUACCGGUGAAGAUGCCGGUUACCCGCGACUAGACGGAAAGACCCCAUGGAGCUUUACUGUAACUUGAUAUUGGAUUUUGGUAUUGCAUGUACAGAAUAGGUGGGAGGCUAAGAAACGAGUACGCCAGUAUUCGCGGAGCCAACUUUGGGAUACCACCCUUGUGAUACCGGAAUUCUAACCUGUGGCCGUGAAACCGGUCAGGGGACAAUGUCUGGUGGACAGUUUGACUGGGGCGGUCGCCUCCAAAAGAGUAACGGAGGCGUUCAAAGGUUAGCUCAGCACGGUCGGAAAUCGUGCGAAGAGUGCAAACGCAAAAGCUGGCCUAACUGCGAGACGUACAGGUCGAGCAGUAACGAAAGUUGGAGUUAGUGAUCCGGCGGUAUGAGAGUGGAAUUGCCGUCGCUCAACGGAUAAAAGCUACCCUGGGGAUAACAGGCUGAUCUCCCCCAAGAGUCCACAUCGACGGGGAGGUUUGGCACCUCGAUGUCGGCUCAUCGCAUCCUGGAGCUGUAGUCGGUUCCAAGGGUUGGGCUGUUCGCCCAUUAAAGCGGUACGCGAGCUGGGUUCAGAACGUCGCGAGACAGUUCGGUCCCUAUCUGUCGCGGGCGCAGGAAAUUUGAAGGGAGCUGUCCUUAGUACGAGAGGACCGGGAUGGACGUACCACUGGUGUACCAGUUGUCUUGCCAAAGGCACGGCUGGGUAGCUAAGUACGGAAGGAAUAAACGCUGAAGGCAUCUAAGCGUGAAGUCCACCCUAAGAUAAGAUUUCCCAUUGUUUUAAACAAGUAAGACCCCACGUAGACUAUGUGGUUGAUAGGUCGGAGGUGUAAGUGCGGUAACGCAUUCAGCUGACCGAUACUAAUAGGUCGAGGGCUUGACCU